UUGGAAACCUGAGAAACUAUGAUGGGA
rnacentral:piRNA from 1 species